rnacentral:lncRNA from 1 species
CUUUUAGUUUUCUGGGCCUAUGAAAGGAGUUCCUUUAAACUUCCGCUGGAGUGAUUGAUCUUUGAUUCUUUCCCGUGGGCACCAAAGUUUAAACAAAGACCUUUAAGACCCUAGAUGGAGAGGUAGCGGGGGCAGGAAGGCAUGGUGCUGGGAAGUUCUUGCCCUUGAAAGUAGGCCCCCUUGUGGACCCGAGAAGAGAAUGCAUUCCCUCAGUAAUACAGGUAUGAAGCGGCACCAUACCUGGAUGCAGAAACUUGAACUGGAAGAAUAGGAAAAUGGCCAUUGUCUUGCUGGAAUCUAGAGAACUGUUUAAGUAACAUACUU